UUAUGGGGGUAGGGCUGGGGGCAGGUGGCCGGACCGAGGUCCCGGGGUCCCCCCUUGCAAAUCGUGGACCCGCCCCGUUUCUGGGCG
rnacentral:sRNA from 1 species